rnacentral:rRNA from 1 species
UUAGAGUUUGAUCCUGGCUCAGGAUGAACGCUAGCGGCAGGCCUAAUACAUGCAAGUCGGACGGUAGCCGACCCUUCGGGGCCGGCGAGAGUGGCGGACGGGUGCGUAACGCGUAUGCAACCAACCCCCCACAGCGGGACAGCCGGUGGAAACGCCGGGCAAUCCCGCAUGCCGCCGUGUCGGGGCAUCCCGGCAUGGCGAAAGGCUACGGCCGGUGGGGGACGGGCAUGCGUGCCAUUAGCUGGUUGGCGGGGCGACGGCCCACCAAGGCGACGAUGGCUAGGGGAUCUGAGAGGACGGUCCCCCACACUGGUACUGAGACACGGACCAGACUCCUGCGGGAGGCAGCAGUAAGGGAUAUUGGGCAAUGGGGGGAACCCUGACCCAGCCAUGCCGCGUGAGGGAAUGGGGCCCUACGGGUCGUGAACCUCUUUUGCCGGGGGACAACGGCGGCGUCGAGAACGCCGCGUGCGGGUACCCGGCGAAUAAGCGUCGGCUAACUCCGUGCCAGCAGCCGCGGUAAUACGGAGGACGCGAGCGUUAUCCGGAUUCAUUGGGUUUAAAGGGUGCGCAGGCGGCCUGCCAAGUCAGCGGUGAAAGCCCGGGGCCCAACCCCGGAAGUGCCGUUGAUACUGUCGGGCUGGAAUGCGGUCGAGGCGGGCGGAACGUGGCGUGUAGCGGUGAAAUGCGUAGAUAUGCCACAGAACGCCGAUAGCGGAGGCAGCUCGCCAGGCCUGCAUUGACGCUCGGGCACGAAAGCGUGGGGAUCGAACAGGAUUAGAUACCCUGGUAGUCCACGCCGUAAACGAUGGGCGCUCGUCGUCGGCGGCAAACGGUCGGCGGCCAAGCGAAAGCGAUAAGCGCCCCACCUGGGGAGUACGGUCGCAAGGCUGAAACUCAAAGGAAUUGACGGGGGCCCGCACAAGCGGUGGAGCAUGUGGUUUAAUUCGACGCAACGCGAAGAACCUUACCAGAGCUUGACAUCCACGGGAGACCGAGUAAUGUUGGUCGUGCCCUUCGGGGAGCCGUGAGACAGGUGGUGCAUGGUUGUCGCCAGCUCGUGUCGUGAGAUGUUGGGUUAAGUCCCGCAACGAGCGCAACCCUUAUGUUUAGUUGCUACGGAAAGAGAACUCUAAACAGACUGCCGUUGACAAAACGGAGGAAGGUGGGGACGACGUCAAAUCAUCAUGCCCCUUACGCCCUGGGCUACACACGUACUACAAUGGCGCAAACAAAGGGAAGCGAGCCUGCGAGGGGGAGCAAAUCCCAAAAAUAACGUCCCAGUUCGGACUGUAGUCUGCAACCCGACUACACGAAGCUGGAAUCGCUAGUAAUCGCGAAUCAGAAUGUCGCGGUGAAUACGUUCCCGGGUCUUGUACACACCGCCCGUCAAG